GUUGGAAUAUGGCCAGUUAACUUUAAAAUAUAGAAUAAUAAAAUAAUUGGAUUUAAAAUUGCUUCAUAUUAUUUUUGUUUAAUAAAAAGACAAUCCAUGUCUUAGGUGUACCCUUUUAAAUCCUAUCUACUUUCUGAUUCUUAGGAUUCUUAAAAAGAAUAUUGUAAUGACUGAACAGAAAUAUUAUAUCUGAUUUUGUACUAGAAAAUUGAAGCAGCAUGGGAUCAUGGCUAAGUAAGAGCUUUAUAGCAGUAGCAAAUAGUUACAUGAUUACUGAAGUAUAGCUGUCACUGGAAAUAGAAAGCUGCAAGGAACCUAUCAUAAAAGUAGCAAUUUCAGUUUCACUAGUGUUUAAAAUUAAAGCCUAGUAAUUCAUUGUGGAUGUAUUUCCUCAAUGGUUUCAGGAAAGUAUCCUGCUUUCACUGAGCAUUUUCACUUUGUUCCUUAUGUGUUUCCUUUCAUAAUGAAAAAGUUGUAAUUUCAGAUUGGUAAAACAAUUGUUAGGACUUUGUGAACAAACACUCAAAAAGUUUUGUGUCAUGAAAUAAUGAUUAGUCAAUUGUAUUUAUUGUUAUAACACACUAUGUUAAAAAUUCACUGCCAGAUGAUCCACAUUAUGUUAGGUAAACCAAUUUAAUCAACAGUUUCCUCUUUUGACAUAUAAUUAGCUGAUGGAUGAAUUUAGAGGUGUAAAAAACCUUCAAAUAAAAGCGUUUAUGGAAAAAAAUAAUGGCUGUUUAUGGAGUUUUGC
rnacentral:lncRNA from 1 species